AUCGUCCGAAUCAUAGUUUGUAAUUAAAUUUAUGAUUUUGACCAGUAGUCGCAAAUAGUCGCAAAUGUGGGCAACUAAUUGAAAUCGUCCGUUUUAGUCACGAUCUGGUGAGGCGGGCA